rnacentral:misc_RNA from 1 species
GAUGAAGAACGCAGCGAAAUGCGAUAAGUAAUGUGAAUUGCAGAAUUCAGUGAAUCAUCGAAUCUUUGAACGCACAUUGCGCCCGCCAGUAUUCUGGCGGGCAUGCCUGUUCGAGCGUCAUUUCAACCAUCAAGCCCCCGGCUUGUGUUGGGGACCUGCGGCUGCCGCAGGCCCUGAAAACCAGUGGCGGGCUCGCUGUCACACCGAGCGUAGUAGAUUUUCAUCUCGCUCAGGGCGUGCUGCGGGUUCCGGCCGUAAAAAGCCUUAUUUACCCAAGGUUGACCUCGGAUCAGGUAGGAAGACCCGCUGAACUUAAGCAUAUCAAUAAGGAGGA